rnacentral:rRNA from 1 species
AAUAAAAUUAAAUAVCUGCARAAUCUUUHCKGUACAAAGGUAGCAUAAHCAAUAGUUUUUUAAUUAAAAGCUGGAAUGAAUGAUUUAAUAAGGUAAAAAGUGBYUCAAUUUUAUUAAUAUUAUAAUUUUUUUUAUAGUUAAAAAACUAUAUUGAUUUUAAAAGACGAGAAGACCCUAUAGAUUUUUAUAUAUAUAUUAAUAAUUAAUUUAAAAUUAAUUAAUUAAAAUUUUUAAAUAUGUAUAUUAGAUUGGGGUAAUUAUUAAAUUAAUUAAAUUUUAAUAAAUUUAAUACAAUAAUUAUUGAUUAUUUGAUCUUGAUUUAUUUUUAAAUUAAUAGAAUAAAUUACCUUAGGGAUAACAGCGUAAUUUUUUUUGAUAGGUCUUAUUGAUAAAAAAGUUUGCGACCUCGAUGUUGAAUUAAGAUAAAAUUUUAAUGAAGAAGUU